GACGAACGCUGGCGGCGUGCCUAAUACAUGCAAGUCGAACGCAUUUUCUUUCACCGUAGCUUGCUACACCGAAAGAAAAUGAGUGGCGAACGGGUGAGUAACACGUGGGUAACCUGCCCAUCAGCGGGGGAUAACACUUGGAAACAGGUGCUAAUACCGCAUAAUUCCAUUUACCGCAUGGUAGAUGGAUGAAGGGCGCUUUUGCGUCACUGAUGGAUGGACCCGCGGUGCUUUAGCUAGUUGGUGGGGUAACGGCCUACCAAGGCUGCGAUGCAUAGCCGACCUGGGAGGGUGGUCGGCCCAACUGGGAAUGGGACACGGCCCAGGCUCCUACGGGAGGCAGCAGUAGGGAAUCUUCGGCAAUGGACGCAAGUCUGACCGAGCAACGCCGCGGGAGUGAAGAAGGUUUUCGGAUCGUAAAACUCUGUUGUUAGAGAAGAACAAGGAUGAGAGUGGAAAGUUCAUCCCUUGACGGUAUCUAACCAGAAAGCCACGGCUAACUACGUG
rnacentral:rRNA from 1 species